UUAGUGGAAGCGUCUGGAAAGGCGCGCGAUACAGGGUGACAGCCCCGUACACAAAAGCGCAUGUGCUGUGAGCUCGAUGAGUAGGGCGGGACACGUGGUAUCCUGUCUGAAUAUGGGGGGACCAUCCUCCAAGGCUAAAUACUCCUGACUGACCGAUAGUGAACCAGUACCGUGAGGGAAAGGCGAAAAGAACCCCGGCGAGGGGAGUGAAAAAGAACCUGAAACCGUGUACGUACAAGCAGUGGGAGCCCCACCACCAAAGCAUUCUCUGGUGUUGAAGGCCCUGCAAAGCAGCAUCGCGGUGGCGGAGCGUCGUUUGCGACGCCCAACACACAAAACAAGCGGUGAGUGCUUUGGGGUGGGGUGACUGCGUACCUUUUGUAUAAUGGGUCAGCGACUUAUAUUCUGUAGCAAGGUUAACCGAAUAGGGGAGCCGGAGGGAAACCGAGUCUUAAYYGGGCGUUAAGUUGCAGGGUAUAGACCCGAAACCCGGUGAUCUAGCCAUGGGCAGGUUGAAGGUUGGGUAACACUAACUGGAGGACCGAACCGACUAAUGUUGAAAAAUUAGCGGAUGACCUGUGGCUGGGGGUGAAAGGCCAAUCAAACCGGGAGAUAGCUGGUUCUCCCCGAAAGCUAUUUAGGUAGCGCCUCGUGAAUUCAUCUCCGGGGGUAGAGCACUGUUUCGGCUAGGGGGCCAUCCCGGCUUACCAACCCGAUGCAAACUGCGAAUACCGGAGAAUGUUAUCACGGGAGACACACGGCGGGUGCUAACGUCCGUCGUGAAGAGGGAAACAACCCAGACCGCCAGCUAAGGUCCCAAAGUCAUGGUUAAGUGGGAAACGAUGUGGGAAGGCCCAGACAGCCAGGAUGUUGGCUUAGAAGCAGCCAUCAUUUAAAGAAAGCGUAAUAGCUCACUGGUCGAGUCGGCCUGCGCGGAAGAUGUAACGGGGCUAAACCAUGCACCGAAGCUGCGGCAGCGA
rnacentral:rRNA from 1 species